rnacentral:rRNA from 1 species
AGCUAGGUCUAACAUUGUUAGGUCGCCAGCUUCUUAGAGGGACUAUCGGUGUUUAACCGAUGGAAGUUUGAGGCAAUAACAGGUCUGUGAUGCCCUUAGAUGUCCUGGGCCGCACGCGCGCUACACUGACGAAGUCAUCGAGUUCAUUUCCUUUAUCGGAAGAUAUGGGUAAUCUUUUGAAACUUCAUCGUGCUGGGGAUAGAGCAUUGCAACUAUUGCUCUUGAACGAGGAAUCCCUAGUAAGUACAAGUCACUAGCUUGUGCUGAUUACGUCCCUGCCCUUUGUACACACCGCCCGUCGCUACUACCGAUUGAAUGGCUUAGUGAGGCCUUCGGAUUGAGAUUAGGAGACUGGAAACAGACUCUUGGUUUUGAAAAGUUGGUCAAACUUGGUCAUUUAGAGGAAGUAAAAGUCGUAACAAGGUUUCCGUAGGUGAACCUGCGGAAGGAUCAUUACCGAUUUUUAGCGGACCUGAUCUUUGGUCAUGGUCUCGCGAAAACUUUGUAUUUAAAACCCCACUCCUAUAAAUUGAAUCAUUUUGUUAUUGUGUAUAAUAAAUAAAGAUCACUUUCAACAACGGAUCUCUUGGCUCUCGCAUCGAUGAAGAACGUAGCGAAGUGCGAUAAGUAAUGUGAAUUGCAGAAUUCCGUGAAUCAUCGAAUCUUUGAACGCAAAUUGCACUCUCUGGCAACCCGGGGAGUAUGCCUGUUUGAGGGUCAGUGUUAAUAAAAAUCGGUGCGUUGCAUUUUGUGACGUUCCGGAGUUUGAGUUAUCUUACCUUUUUUCGGUUUUAAGAGGCUUAAAAUUGACAUCAUUUUUGUGCAUUUUAGACGUACAUAAAAUUUUUUUAUUCGUCCAUCUCAAUGCCAAAAUCUAUUAGAUGCGACCAUGUCGUGUGGUGCCGUGUCUAUAAAUUUUUCAUGAUUGUGACCUCAAAUCAGGUAGGGAUACCCGCUGAACUUAAGCAUAUCAA